UUCUUAGUGUACUAGUUUACAUGGAACCACUCCAACCCAUCUCGAACUUGGUAGUGAAACAUCCUAAAAAGUGAAAAUACUUAUACCGAGGGGUUAAGGGAAAAUAGCUUUAUGCUAAGAG
rnacentral:rRNA from 1 species